AGUGAACGCUGGCGGUAGGCCUAACACAUGCGAGUCGAACGGCAGCACAGUAAGAGCCUGCUCUUACGGGUGGCGAGUGGCGGACGGGUGAGGAAUACAUCGGAAUCUACUUUUUCGUGGGGGAUAACGUAGGGAAACUUACGCUAAUACCGCAUACGACCUACGGGUGAAAGCAGGGGAUCUUCGGACCUUGCGCGAUUGAAUGAGCCGAUGUCGGAUUAGCUAGUUGGCGGGGUAAAGGCCCACCAAGGCGACGAUCCGUAGCUGGUCUGAGAGGAUGAUCAGCCACACUGGAACUGAGACACGGUCCAGACUCCUACGGGAGGCAGCAGUGGGGAAUAUUGGACAAUGGGCGCAAGCCUGAUCCAGCCAUACCGCGUGGGUGAAGAAGGCCUUCGGGUUGUAAAGCCCUUUUGUUGGGAAAGAAAAGCAGCAGGUUAAUAUCCCGCUGUUCUGACGGUACCCAAAGAAUAAGCACCGGCUAACUUCGUG
rnacentral:rRNA from 1 species